UCUAAUGGACCUGUUAGCUGUUCUGUCAUCAGCCUUGGACCAUCAGCCACAGAGGACACAUACUAGACACAUGCCGUGGUCAACACGUUGAUGUGGAGUAUGUGCUCCCAAACUGUUUGUGCAGCCGCAGAAAUUCCGGGGUUGCUUGAGCUCAUGGUCCAAACCCUCACACAAAAGGAGAAGAUUAUAGGAAGAGUGGAAAAACAAAACUAAUUACUCGAGGUAUUUCAACCAGCCAAUGCUGCUUAAAAUGUAAUUACAUGGGUUUAGAGCUCUGGCUGAGGCUGGGGUGGCUGCAAAUCUCACAUUGGCAGACCUGUCCCUGGUGUAAAAUCUGACUGCCGCUGAAAAUGACAGCAGGAGAAAGACCUGGUCUGGACGAGGAGAUUAGUAUCCUGUCACCAUCGUCCACUUGAAAAAGAACAGUGGAAAAGAAGUUGAACUGAACUUGAUCAACAAAGUUAUACCCCCACAACACACAAAAGGGUUUUUGAUACAGAAAUAUCCUCAUGUUUAUGGAUAUUGUACACUCUAAAGAGGUCCAAUAUCAUAUUAUGUCAUCUAUUUUUACAAGUUUUUAUAUGAUUGU